rnacentral:lncRNA from 1 species
ACCCUAAUGCUGACUAAAAGAAAAAUUCAGUUUAGGGUUUGAAACCCUAAUGUUGAUUGCAUGGAAAAGCUCAGUUUAGGGUUUAAAACCCUAAUGCUGGCUGAAAGGAAGAAAAGUUCAGUUUAGGGUUUAAAACCCUAAUGCUGACUAAAGGAAAAAUUCAGUUUAGGGUUUAAAACCCUAAUGCUGAUUGCGUGGAAAAGCUCAGUUUAGGGUUUAAAACCCUAAUGCUGGCUGAAUGGAAAAAAGUUUAGUUUAGGGUUUAAAACCCUAAUGCUGACUAAAGGAAAAAUUCAGUUUAGGGUUUAAAACCCUAAUGCUGAUUGCAUGGAAAAGCUCAGUUUAGGGUUUAAAACCCUAAUGCUGGCUGAAUGGAAAAAAGUUCAGUUUAGGGUUUAAAACCCUAAUGCUGACUAAAGGAAAAAUUCAGUUUAGGGUUUAAAACCCUAAUGCUGAUUGCAUGGAAAGGCUCAGUUUAGGGUUUAAAACCCUAAUGCUGGCUGAAUGGAAAAAAGUUCAGUCUAGGGUUUAAAACCCUAAUGCUGACUAAAAGAAAAAUUCAGUUUAGGGUUUAAAACCCUAAUGUUGAUUGCAUGGAAAAGCUCAGUUUAGGGUUUAAAACCCUAAUGCUGGCUGAAAGGAAAAAAAGUUCAGUUUAGGGUUUAAAACCCUAAUGCUGAUUGAAAAGAAAGAAUUCAGUUUAGGGUUUUAAAACCCUAAUGCUGAUUGCAUGAAAAAGCUCAGUUUAGGGUUUUAAAACCCUAAUGAUGGCUGAAUGGAAAAAAAGUUCAGUUUAGGGUUUAAAACCCUAAUGCUGACUAAAGAAAAAAUUCAGUUUAGGGUUUAAAACCCUAAUGCUGAUUGCAUGAAAAAGCUCAGUUUAG